rnacentral:rRNA from 1 species
UACGAAGGGGGCUAGCGUUGCUCGGAAUCACUGGGCGUAAAGCGCACGUAGGCGGCUUUUUAAGUCAGAGGUGAAAUCCUGGAGCUCAACUCCAGAACUGCCUUUGAUACUGGAGUGCUUGAGUCCGGGAGAGGUGAGUGGAACUGCGAGUGUAGAGGUGAAAUUCGUAGAUAUUCGCAAGAACACCAGUGGCGAAGGCGGCUCACUGGCCCGGUACUGACGCUGAGGUGCGAAAGCGUGGGGAGCAAACAGG